GGGGUUGUGGCUUAGUGGUAGAGCUCUCACCUAGAAUGUAUGAGGCACAGGGUUCGAUCCUCAACACCA
rnacentral:tRNA from 1 species